GAUGAACGCUGGCGGCGUGCCUAAUACAUGCAAGUCGAGCGAACAGACGAGGAGCUUGCUCCUCUGACGUUAGCGGCGGACGGGUGAGUAACACGUGGAUAACCUACCUAUAAGACUGGGAUAACUUCGGGAAACCGGAGCUAAUACCGGAUAAUAUAUUGAACCGCAUGGUUCAAUAGUGAAAGACGGUUUUGCUGUCACUUAUAGAUGGAUCCGCGCCGCAUUAGCUAGUUGGUAAGGUAACGGCUUACCAAGGCAACGAUGCGUAGCCGACCUGAGAGGGUGAUCGGCCACACUGGAACCGAGACACGGUCCAGACUCCUACGGGAGGAAGCAGUAGGGAAUCUUCCGCAAUGGGCGAAAGCCUGACGGAGCAACGCCGCGUGAGUGAUGAAGGUCUUCGGAUCUUAAAACUCUGUUAUUAGGGAAGAACAAAUGUGUAAGUAACUAUGCACGUCUUGACGGUACCUAAUCAGAAAGCCACGGCUAACUACGUG
rnacentral:rRNA from 1 species